rnacentral:lncRNA from 1 species
GACUUACAUUGCACUGAUAUUUAGAAACUACAUCAAGACACUGUGCUUGGAGGUUUACAGGCAGAGGUAAAAAUAUACACGCAAGCAGGUAAAGAAAAGUAUGCAGUAUUCUUGGUGCUAUUUAAUUCCUUACAGUUUUCAGCUCUGGAGUCAUGUUCAGUACUCUGUGCUGUUUCAUCUGUGAUGAUGUUGUUAUGUCCACGGCUCAUGAAAUAAGGCACAGACACGUCCCAACUGCUGUUAUUUCUGUGACUGUAAUGACUUGCUGUGUAUCUGCUCUGAUGGUCAGUUGUUUCUCCUGCUUCAUAAGAACUCAGGCCAUUUUAAAAAGCAUCUUUCAUUUGUCAUAUCGAUUUAAACUGAUA